rnacentral:rRNA from 1 species
GGGUUGUGAGGUUAAGCGACUAAGCGUACACGGUGGAUGCCCUGGCAGUCAGAGGCGAUGAAGGACGUGCUAAUCUGCGAUAAGCGCCGGUAAGGUGAUAUGAACCGUUAUAACCGGCGAUUUCCGAAUGGGGAAACCCAGUGUGACUCGUCACACUAUCAUUAACUGAAUCCAUAGGUUAAUGAGGCGAACCGGGGGAACUGAAACAUCUAAGUACCCCGAGGAAAAGAAAUCAACCGAGAUUCCCCCAGUAGCGGCGAGCGAACGGGGAGGAGCCCAGAGCCUGAAUCAGCAUGUGUGUUAGUGGAAGCGUCUGGAAAGGCGCGCGAUACAGGGUGACAGCCCCGUACACAAAAGCGCAUGUGCUGUGAGCUCGAUGAGUAGGGCGGGACACGUGGUAUCCUGUCUGAAUAUGGGGGGACCAUCCUCCAAGGCUAAAUACUCCUGACUGACCGAUAGUGAACCAGUACCGUGAGGGAAAGGCGAAAAGAACCCCGGCGAGGGGAGUGAAAAAGAACCUGAAACCGUGUACGUACAAGCAGUGGGAGCACAGGUUUACCUGUGUGACUGCGUACCUUUUGUAUAAUGGGUCAGCGACUUAUAUUCUGUAGCAAGGUUAACCGAAUAGGGGAGCCGGAGGGAAACCGAGUCUUAAUUGGGCGUUAAGUUGCAGGGUAUAGACCCGAAACCCGGUGAUCUAGCCAUGGGC